GAUGAACGCUGGCGGCGUGCCUAAUACAUGCAAGUCGAGCGAACAGACGAGAGUGCUUGCACUCUCUGACGUUAGCGGCGGACGGGUGAGUAACACGUGGGUAACCUACCCAUAAGACUGGGAUAACUUCGGGAAACCGGAGCUAAUACCGGAUAAUAUUUAGCUUCGCAUGAAGCAAUAGUGAAAGACGGUUCUGCUGUCACUUAUAGAUGGACCCGCGGUGUAUUAGCUAGUUGGUGAGGUAACGGCUCACCAAGGCAACGAUACAUAGCCGACCUGAGAGGGUGAUCGGCCACACUGGGACUGAGACACGGCCCAGACUCCUACGGGAGGCAGCAGUAGGGAAUCUUCCGCAAUGGACGAAAGUCUGACGGAGCAAUGCCGCGUGAGUGAAGAAGGUUUUCGGAUCGUAAAACUCUGUUGUAAGGGAAGAACAAGUACGUUAGUAACUGAACGUACCUUGACGGUACCUUACCAGAAAGCCACGGCUAACUACGUG
rnacentral:rRNA from 1 species